UCACGUGGUCGCGACUGGCGUAGUCGAGGUGGAACUGACCACCGGGAAGCGGCACCGACCCGUACGAACACCGUGCGCCUGGGUGGCGGGG
rnacentral:ncRNA from 1 species